rnacentral:lncRNA from 1 species
UAAGUGAAUAUGACAAAAUAAUGAUUCAUCAAUAGGUAGAGGCCGAUAGGUUGAGGCCGAUAGGUAGAGCUCGAGAGGUCGAGGUAGAGAGGUUGAGAUCGAAAUGUAAAGGCCGAGAGAUUGAGACCGACAGGUAGAGAUCGAGAUGUCAUGGUAGAGAGGUCGAGAGGUCAAGAGGUUAAGGUCUAGAUGUUAAGACUGAGAAGUCGAGGUCGAGUAGAGGCUGAGUGGUCAAGGCCUAUAGGUAGAGGCCAAGAUGUUGAGGUAGAGAGGUUGAGGUCAAUAUGUAGAGGCUGAGAGAUUAAAGCCAAUAUGUUAAGACUGAAAAGUUAAGAUUGAAAUAUUGAGGCUAACAAGUAGAGGAGAACAUGUUAAGACUAAGAAAUCAAGGCUGACGUGUAAAGGCCAAGAGGUUAAGGCUGGCAAGGAGAGGUUGAGAUGGUGAGGUAGAGAGGUAUAUGCUAAUAUAUAGAGGUCGGGAUGUUAAGACUGAGAUGUUGAGGUCGACAUAUAGAGGUCGAGAGGUCAAGGAUGACAAGUAAAUGCCAAGAUUUCGAUAAAAAGAGGUUAAGGUCGAUAUAUGGAGGCCGAGAGGUUGAUGCCUAGAUGUUAAGAUUGAAAAUUCGAGGCUGGCAUGUAGAGUUUGGCAUGUUAAGACAAAGAAGUCGAGGCCAACAUGUAGAGGUUGAGAGGUUGAGGCCGAUAGAUACAGGCCGACAAAUACAGGCCGAGAUGUCAAGGUAG